UACGGAGGGUGCGAGCGUUGUCCGGAAUCAUUGGGCGUAAAGGGCGCGUAGGUGGCCCGGUCAGUCUUUGGUGAAAGCGCGGGGCUCAACCCUGCGUCGGCCAGGGAUACUGCCGCGGCUCGAGCACUGUAGAGGCAGGCGGAAUUCCGGGUGUAGCGGUGGAAUGCGUAGAGAUCCGGAAGAACACCGGUGGCGAAGGCGGCCUGCUGGGCAGUUUUGCUGACACUGAGGCGCGACAGCGUGGGGAGCAAACAGG
rnacentral:rRNA from 1 species